rnacentral:rRNA from 1 species
GACGAACGCUGGCGGCGUGCCUAACACAUGCAAGUGGAGCGACGACCCAGGCUUCGGCCUGGUGCAAAAGCCGCGAACGGGUGAGUAACACGUGGGUAACCUGCCCCGAUGAUUGGGACAACCCGAGGAAACUCGGGCUAAUACCGAAUGUGCCCUCCAGCUAUAAGGCUGCUGGGGAAAGGAAGCUUCGGCCUCCGCAUCGGGAUGGGCCCGCGGCCCAUUAGCUUGUUGGUGAGGAAUGGCUCACCAAGGCUACGAUGGGUAGCUGGUCUGAGAGGACGAUCAGCCACACUGGGACUGAGACACGGCCCAGACUCCUACGGAGGCAGCAGUGGGGAAUCUUGCGCAAUGCGCGAAAGCGUGACGCAGCAACGCCGCGUGGGGGAAGACGGCCUCGGUUGUAA